rnacentral:rRNA from 1 species
AGAGUUUGAUCCUGGCUCAGGACGAACGCUGGCGGCGUGCUUAACACAUGCAAGUCGAACGAGAAUCACUGGAAGGAGUUUUCGGACAACGGAAGGUGAGGACAGUGGCGGACGGGUGAGUAACGCGUGAGGAACCUGCCUUUCAGAGGGGGACAACAGUUGGAAACGACUGCUAAUACCGCAUGACACAUAGAGAUCGCAUGGUUUUUAUGUCAAAGAUUUAUCGCUGAAAGAUGGCCUCGCGUCUGAUUAGCUAGUUGGUGAGGUAACGGCCCACCAAGGCGACGAUCAGUAGCCGGGCUGAGAGGUUGACCGGCCACAUUGGGACUGAGAUACGGCCCAGACUCCUACGGGAGGCAGCAGUGGGGAAUAUUGGGCAAUGGGCGCAAGCCUGACCCAGCAACGCCGCGUGAAGGAAGAAGGCUUUCGGGUUGUAAACUUCUUUUGUCGGGGACGAGUAGAAGACGGUACCUGGCGAAUAAGCCACGGCUAACUACGUGCCAGCAGCCGCGGUAAUACGUAGGUGGCAAGCGUUGUCCGGAUUUACUGGGUGUAAAGGGCGUGUAGCCGGGAAGGCAAGUCAGAUGUGAAAUCCACGGGCUUAACUCGUGAACUGCAUUUGAAACUACUUUUCUUGAGUAUCGGAGAGGCAAUCGGAAUUCCUAGUGUAGCGGUGAAAUGCGUAGAUAUUAGGAGGAACACCAGUGGCGAAGGCGGAUUGCUGGACGACAACUGACGGUGAGGCGCGAAAGCGUGGGGAGCAAACAGGAUUAGAUACCCUGGUAGUCCACGCUGUAAACGAUGAAUACUAGGUGUGCGGGGACUGACCCCCUGCGUGCCGCAGUUAACACAAUAAGUAUUCCACCUGGGGAGUACGAUCGCAAGGUUGAAACUCAAAGGAAUUGACGGGGGCCCGCACAAGCGGUGGAUUAUGUGGUUUAAUUCGACGCAACGCGAAGAACCUUACCAGGGCUUGACAUCCUACUAACGAAGUAGAGAUACAUCAGGUGCCCUUCGGGGAAAGUAGAGACAGGUGGUGCAUGGUUGUCGUCAGCUCGUGUCGUGAGAUGUUGGGUUAAGU